UGAGUGGCGGACGGGUGAGUAACGCGUGGGCAACCUGGCCUGUACAGGGGAUAACACUUAGAAAUAGGUGCUAAUACCGCAUAACGGGGGAAGCCGCAUGGCUUUUCCCUGAAAACUCCGGUGGUACAGGAUGGGCCCGCGUCUGAUUAGCCAGUUGGCAGGGUAACGGCCUACCAAAGCGACGAUCAGUAGCCGGCCUGAGAGGGCGGACGGCCCAAAAAAAAAAAAAAAAAAAAAAAAAAAAAAACUGGGACUGAGACACGGCCCAGACUCCUACGGGAGGCAGCAG
rnacentral:rRNA from 1 species